rnacentral:rRNA from 1 species
UACGUAGGCAGCGAGCGUUGUUCGGAGUUACUGGGCGUAAAGAGUGCGUAGGCGGUUUUCUAAGUUUGGUGUGAAAUCUCCCGGCUUAACUGGGAGGGUGCGCCGAAGACUGGAAGGCUUGAGUAUGGGGGAGGUAAGCGGAAUUCCUGGUGUAGCGGUGAAAUGCGUAGAUAUCAGGAGGAACACCGAUUGCGAAGGCAGCUCGCUGGGACGUAACUGACGCUGAGACGCGAAAGCGUGGGGAGCAAACAGG